rnacentral:rRNA from 1 species
CCUACGGGAGGCAGCAGUGGGGAAUAUUGGGCAAUGAGCGCAAGCCUGACCCAGCAACGCCGCGUGAAGGAAGAAGGCUUUCGGGUUGUAAACUUCUUUUGUCAGGGAAGAGUAGAAGACGGUACCUGACGAAUAAGCCACGGCUAACUACGUGCCAGCAGCCGCGGUAAUACGUAGUUGGAAAGCGUUGUCCGGAUUUACUGGGUGUAAAGGGCGUGUAGCCGGGUUGACAAGUCAGAUGUGAAAUCCUGCGGCUUAACCGCAGAACUGCAUUUGAAACUGUUGAUCUUGAGUACUGGAGAGGCAGAUGGAAUUCCUAGUGUAGCGGUGAAAUGCGUAGAUAUUAGGAGGAACACCAGUGGCGAAGGCGGUCUGCUGGACAGCAACUGACGGUGAGGCGCGAAAGCGUGGGGAGCAAACAGGAUUAGAUACCCGUGUAGUC